AACGAACGCUGGCGGCAGGCUUAACACAUGCAAGUCGAACGCAUCGCAAGAUGAGUGGCAGACGGGUGAGUAACGCGUGGGGACAUACCCUUUUCUACGGAAUAGCUCUGGGAAACUGGAAUUAAUACCGUAUACGCCCUACGGGGGAAAGAUUUAUCGGGGAAGGAUUGGCCCGCGUUGGAUCAGCUAGUUGGUGGGGUAAAGGCCUACCAAGGCGACGAUCCAUAGCUGGUCUGAGAGGAUGAUCAGCCACAUUGGGACUGAGACACGGCCCAAACUCCUGCGGGAGGAAGCAGUGGGGAAUAUUGGACAAUGGGCGCAAGCCUGAUCCAGCCAUGCCGCGUGAGUGAUGAAGGCCUUAGGGUUGUAAAGCUCUUUCACCGAUGAAGAUAAUGACGGUAGUCGGAGAAGAAGCCCCGGCUAACUUCGUGCCAGCCGCCGCCGUAAAAC
rnacentral:rRNA from 1 species